GGAAGUAAGAAAAAUGGAAAAAAAAGGAUGACCGAUUCACGUUUUUGGAGUACCCAAUCCGUUUUAUUACAUAAAGAAUGUCAAACCAGUAUAUAAACUGGAAUUGAUCUUUACAAUAUUCAUGACAAUCAGGAGUCUCACUCGGACAGGAUGAAGAUUGCCAUCAUCAUUAUUCUAUGUUCGUGUGUGGUAGCACUGACCAGUGCCGGCGGAUAUGGCUAUGGCUAUGGCGGCGGCAACUAUGGUGGUAAUAGCGGGUACGGAGGGUAUGGCGGAUACAGCGGUUAUGGCAAGGGAUAUGGUGGAUACAGCGGUUAUGGCAAGGGGUAUGGACAAGGCUAUGGAGGUUCUGCAGUUUAUCAGGCAUAUCCUUAUCCACUCCCAGAGUUUCCAGUUCCUGUAUCUGGUUCGAUUGGAGGUGGUGGAGGUGGCCUCGGUGGCUUCGGUGGAGGAGGAGGAGGAGGUGGAAUCUUUGGCUUUGGUGGCGGAGGAGGUGGUUAUGGUGGCCAAGCCAGCAAUCCUAUUUGGUGGUUAAUUGGCGCUGCAGCCCUUUGGGCACUACUCCGCAAUAACAAUGAUGACAAUACUGGUUAAUUCUGAUAACAAAUGUUAUAAAUACCUAAGCUAUGGAACUGGCUAGUUUGUAUAUAGAUAUCUGUCAAUACGCUGUGAUGUUACUGGUCGUCAAUACCAAAUCUCUUGAUGUUUUUUAUUUCAUAUUAUAAUAAAUGGAUGCAUAUGUAGA